GAUGAACGCUGGCGGCGUGCCUAAUACAUGCAAGUCGAGCGAACGGACGAGAAGCUUGCUUCUCUGAUGUUAGCGGCGGACGGGUGAGUAACACGUGGAUAACCUACCUAUAAGACUGGGAUAACUUCGGGAAACCGGAGCUAAUACCGGAUAAUAUUUUGAACCGCAUGGUUCAAAAGAGAAAUACGGUCUUGCUGUCACUUAUAGAUGGAUCCGCGCUGCAUUAGCUAGUUGGUAAGGUAACGGCUUACCAAGGCAACGAUGCAUAGCCGACCUGAGAGGGGGAUCGGCCACACUGGAACGUGGACACGGUCCAGAGUCCUACGGGAGGCAGCAGUAGGGAAUCUUCCGCAAUGGGCGAAAGCCUGACGGAGCAACGCCGCGUGAGUGAUGAAGGUCUUCGGAUCGUAAAACUCUGUUAUUAGGGAAGAACAUAUGUGUAAGUAACUGUGCACAUCUUGACGGUACCUAAUCAGAAAGCCACGGCUAACUACGUG
rnacentral:rRNA from 1 species